rnacentral:rRNA from 1 species
AACGUAGGAGACAAACGUUAUCCGGAGUUACUGGGCGUAAAGGGCGUGUAGGUGGUUUCGUAAGUCUGGCGUGAAAUAUCUCGGCUUAACCGAGGCAGGUCGUCGGAUACUGCGGAACUAGAGGACGGUAGAGGCGUGUGGAAUUCCGGGUGUAGUGGUGAAAUGCGUAGAGAUCGGGAGGAACACCUGUGGCGAAGGCGGCCACCUGGGCCGACCCUGACGCUGAGGCGCGAAGGCGUGGGGAGCGAACGGG